rnacentral:rRNA from 1 species
UACGGAGGGUGCGAGCGUUGUCCGGAAUCACUGGGCGUAAAGGGCGCGUAGGUGGCGCGGGAAGUCAACGGUGAAAGUUCGGGGCUCAACCCUGAAUCGGCCGUCGAUACUCCCGGGCUCGAGCACUGUAGAGGCAGAUGGAAUUCCGGGUGUAGCGGUGGAAUGCGUAGAGAUCCGGAAGAACACCGGUGGCGAAGGCGGUCUGCUGGGCAGUUGCUGACACUGAGGCGCGAAAGCGUGGGGAGCGAACAGG